UACGUAGGUGGCAAGCGUUGUCCGGAAUUACUGGGCGUAAAGGGCGUGUAGGCGGCGAUUUAAGUCAGACGUGAAAACUCAAGGCUUAACCAUGGGACUGCGUUUGAAACUGAAUGGCUAGAGGAUCGGAGAGGGCAGUGGAAUUCCCAGUGUAGCGGUGAAAUGCGUAGAUAUUGGGAGGAACACCAGUGGCGAAGGCGACUGCCUGGACGACACCUGACGCUGAGGCGCGAAAGCCAGGGGAGCAAACGGG
rnacentral:rRNA from 1 species